CUGAAGUGUUUCACAUUAAAUGAGUCUUACUAGCUGUAGCUGAGGUACAAAUAGAGUUUUGGAUAAAGAAGUGUCUGAUUCAACAUUGAAAUUUAUUUUUAUAUCUGGGGGGACAUGAGAUUUUUUGAAGUGUCAAGGUGGGUCAUGAUGCACAGAAGGUUGGGAACCACUGAACCACUGUCUUAGAUAUCAAAUGCAAAUUAACUGCUUACAUUUUUUCCUGUAGAUUGGCUCAAUCACCCGUGCCUCGAAGGUAGGCUUCGAGGAACUGUCUAAUAACAUUGCCAAGAUAGAGGUCGACUGUAAGGAAUCGUGGGAUCAUCUAAAAGCCAUUACAAAACGCAGAUUAAGCUCAAUGUGCUCCAGUGAACCAGUGAGUGGGACACUAGUGGAUUAAGACCCAGAUUGGGCUAUUUACUGGGACAAUUUCAACAGUUUCUAGUGUGGUUGGGUUCACCACUAUACUUACCCCAGGACAUUAAGGUUCAACAAGUGUGCUCAACAAUAAAUGAGUUUGCCCUGGAGUACAGGACCUGCCGAUAAUGUGUACUACAACAAACUCAGAAGAAGGCAAACCACCGCGAGACAAAUAAGACUCGCGGGAAGAUGAUCGUAGAGAUUGGCUCAAUCACCCGUGCCUCGAAGGUAGGCUUCGAGGAACUGUCUAAUAACAUUGCCAAGAUAGAGGUCGACUGUAAGGAAUCGUGGGAUCAUCUAAAAGCCAUUACAAAACAUGCAGAUUAAGCUCAAUGUGCUCCAGUGAACCAGUGAGUGGGACAGUAGUGGAUUAAGACCCAGAUUGGGCUAUUUACUGGGACAAAUAUCGGAGUUUUUAGCAGACUGUGCAGAGCAUAUAUUUGUUCUGGGAAUUAUUUAUCAGCGAUUGAUGACUGGGUAAGGAGCACAGAAGCAGUAUUGAAUGUCUAGCACCAUUAUAAGAAAAUAUCAAGAUGGUCAGAUUUUUAGAUAUCAAAAGGAUUUUUAAUAAUACAAAAUUUUAUGAAAUACAU